GAUGAACGCUGGCGGCGUGCCUAAUACAUGCAAGUCGAGCGGUAAGGCCCCUUCGGGGGUACACGAGCGGCGGACGGCUGAGUAACGCGUGGGAACAUGCCCCAAAGUGAGGAAUAAGCUCCAGAAAUGGAGUCUAAUGCCGCAUAUGAUCUUCGGAUUAAAGGAUUUAUCCGCUUUGGGAGUGGCCUGCGUACGAUUAG
rnacentral:rRNA from 1 species